ensembl:lncRNA
AAAACAAAAUGGUGUCAGUGGGUGUUACCGGCACGGGGAAGCUCAGUGCCUCUGUGGUAGCAGCUCAGUGCCUGCCUCUGGACCCCUCAGGAUGGGAUUUGAGGCAUAAAUGACUUGAAGGGAAAGCUGGCUGAGUCAUCUUGGAGCACACAGAGUUCUUUACAGAGACAAACUAAUUAUUUCUCUGCAACACCCCUGUGAAGAAGAUGACAUUUCAAAAUGAAACUGAACCUGAAAGUCUGUGCUCUGAAGUUCCUGGUUCAGACAUGGCUUCAGGGCUUUUAAAUUCCUGCAUGCCUAUCGGCUCUCAGUGAGGUUCUCAGGGCUUCCACAGGUCUUUUGAACAGGAAGCCUACUGCUAGCGCGCUGGGAGGGCUGCACCACGACUGGGACAAGUAUCUGCCCCAUCAAUCCUCUAGGAAGGUGGAAGAAAAUCCCUCAGGGCUCUCAAAAAACUGAAAACUUUUGUUUUUACGAGGAAGGGGUUGUGCCUAUUGCACAGCUGGGCAGGCCUUCUUGUGUACUUCUCCUUUCCUCUGAAAGAUGCCACCCAGUAGCUAUGGCUGUCUGGGAGCUUCUGCAGCUGUAUCAACUGCCAACUUCAGUGUCCCCUCUUGAUGGAGGGGUUGAUAGACUGCAAGGACAGGAAGGAGAAACCUGCAGAGUCAUCGCCUUAUGCAGCAGCUGAAGCCACAACUGCCUGCAGGAACAGAAGAGCGCAGUGGGGGCUUUGACUUCCUGAAGCAGCCUCCUAGAAACUGGGGAGAGAAUAAUCACAGGGAGGAAAGGCAGGCAGAGGAACUGGAACUAGUGGUUUGGGCCUCCCCCCCAGCCCGGAGAAACCAUGGUGCUUUUCUUCUGACACUGCCUCACUGUUUAACUGCAGUCCCGAAACAGUAAUAGCUGCAGCCUGGGGUUUUGAAGCACACAGUAGGAAGAAAUAGGAGGCACCCCUGAUGUAAUACAACAUAUGUUUGCUUCUUGUUGGAAAAGUGUAU